AUGAUGGAAAGCAGGCAGAGCAGCAUCUGCAUCGAGGGUAUGGAUGAUAAGGUUUUCGAGGCCCUGCUGCACUACAUGUACAAGGACUCCCUGCCGGCAUUCAUGGAGGAGACCACGGAAGAGGCGACAAACAUGGCGCGGCAUUUGCUCGUCGCAGCUGAUCGAUAUGCGGUAGAAAGACUGAAACUGAUGUGCGAGAGCAAGCUGGGCAAGGAGCUGGAUGUCAAGACGGUGGGCUUCACUUUGGAUCUGGCUGAGCGGUACAAUUGUCAACGGCUAUUAGUUACAAGUCACAAAAGGGUAUACUCCUUGAUCCGCCACGUCGGGAUGUCGUCCCCUUAG
rnacentral:rRNA from 1 species